rnacentral:rRNA from 1 species
GACGAACGCUGGCGGCGUGCUUAACACAUGCAAGUCGAACGGAAAGGCCCUGCUUUUGUGGGGUGCUCGAGUGGCGAACGGGUGAGUAACACGUGAGUAACCUGCCCUUGACUUUGGGAUAACUUCAGGAAACUGGGGCUAAUACCGGAUAGGAGCUCCUGCUGCAUGGUGGGGGUUGGAAAGUUUCGGCGGUUGGGGAUGGACUCGCGGCUUAUCAGCUUGUUGGUGGGGUAGUGGCGUACCAAGGCUUUGACGGGUAGCCGGCCUGAGAGGGUGACCGGCCACAUUGGGACUGAGAUACGGCCCAGAAUCCUACGGGAGGCAGCGGUGGGGAGUAUGGCACAGUGGGCGGAAGCCUGAUGCGGCAGCGCCGCGUGCGGGAUGACGGCCUUCGGGUUGUAAACCGCUUUGGCAUGUGACGAAGCGUGAGUGACGGUAAUGGGUAAAGAAGCACCGGCUAACUACGUG